GACAGAGGAGCCAAGCGUUGUCCGGAUUGACUGGCGUAAAGCGCACGCAGGCGGCUCGGCGCGUGGGGUGUGAAAGCUGGCGGCUUAACUGCCAGAUGCCAUCCCAUACGGCUGGGCUCGAGCCCUGCAGAGGUCCAUGGAAUUGCCGGUGUAGUGGUGAAAUGCGUAGAGAUCGGCAGGAACACCCAGGGGAAACCAGUG
rnacentral:rRNA from 1 species